GAUCAUGGCUCAGAUUGAACGCUGGCGGCAUGCCUUACACAUGCAAGUCGAACGGCAGCACGGGAGCUUGCUCCUGGUGGCGAGUGGCGAACGGGUGAGUAAUGCAUCGGAACGUGCCCUGAAGUGGGGGAUAACGUAGCGAAAGUUACGCUAAUACCGCAUAUUCUGUGAGCAGGAGAGCAGGGGAUCUUCGGACCUUGCGCUUUUGGAGCGGCCGAUGUCGGAUUAGCUAGUUGGUGGGGUAAAGGCCCACCAAGGCGACGAUCCGUAGCGGGGUCUGAGAGGAUGAUCCGCCACACUGGAACUGAGACACGGUCCAGACUCCUACGGGAGGCAGCAGUGGGGAAUUUUGGACAAUGGGCGCAAGCCUGAUCCAGCCAUGCCGCGUGAGUGAAGAAGGCCUUCGGGUUGUAAAGCUCUUUCGGUGGGGAAGAAAUUGCUUGGGUUAAUACCCUGAGUAGAUGACGGUACCCGCAUAAGAAGCACCGGCUAACUACGUG
rnacentral:rRNA from 1 species